GCACUCACUUCAGCAGCACAUAUACUAAAAUUGGAAGGAUACAGACAAGAUUAGCAUGGUCCCUGUGCGAGGAUGACAUGCAAAUUUGUGAAGCAUUCCAUAUUUUU
ensembl:snRNA U6 U6 spliceosomal RNA